ensembl:lncRNA
CUCAGUUGAGGGCAGUUGCAGGUCCCAUCUAGGGACAGGGAAUGGAGAAAACGUGGGUUAGGUCCUGAGACACAAGGAAAAGCAGACAAUGGAAAAGCUCUGGAAUGGUCACCAGGUGGAGAGAUGAGCAAGGGUUGGUCAACCACAGCCUGCAGGUAGGAAAGCAGAACAUGUCUGUGGUCUCCUAGUCUCAGAGUGAGGAACGGCCAAUGACUCCCUGCAUCUGUACCUGUGCACACCCCAAAGUGAUACUAGAGUGAUGGAUCACCUCAAAGUGAUUUCAGCAACAAAUCCUCCAAACCCAGAGGAGCAGCUGGGGCAGAUGGGAAAAUUAAAGCACAUAUAUCUGUGUAAGCAACUUGUUCCAGGCUCUCAGAGAGGAGUCACCGGCCCAGACUGGUCUAGAACACUGGUCUCCUGAUGACUUGAAUGCAGGACAGUGACUUUCUCAUUUUUGGAUCCCCUGAUCCUAGCACAGAGCCUGGACCUGGUCCACAGUAACUGUUUAAUAAAUGUUUACUGAAUAGAA